rnacentral:rRNA from 2 species
UGAGGAAUUUUGCGCAAUGGGCGAAAGCCUGACGCAGCGACGCCGCGUGGAGGACGAAGUCUUUCGAGAUGUAAACUCCUGUCAGUGGGGAUGAUAAUGACAGUACCCACAAAGGAAGCACCGGCUAAUUCCGUGCCAGCAGCCGCGGUAAUACGGAAGGUGCAAGCGUUGUUCGGAAUUACUGGGCGUAAAGCGUACGUAGGUGGCGGAUUAAGUCGAAUGUUAAAGCCCAGGGCUCAACCCUGUGGAUGCAUUCGAUACUGGUUUGCUAGAGGGUGCUAGAGGAAAGCGGAAUUCCGAGUGUAGCGGUGAAAUGCGUAGAUAUUCGGAGGAACAUCAGUAGCGAAGGCGGCUUUCUGGGGCAUUCCUGACACUGAGGUACGAAAGCGUGGGGAGCAAACAGG